ensembl:lncRNA
AACAAAUGCCAUGAAUGCUCAGAGUUCCUGGGAAGGAGAAAACACUGCAAGGAGAGGUUAGACCAGCUCCAUGAGAGGCGGGACAGUACCUGGCCUUAAAAGGCUCUAGUGAUACCAGCGAAUAUUAGCAAACUCUGAUCCAGUCUCUUGUUGCCUAUCUUCUGAGAUUUAACAUCAGCUGCCUCUUCUGGAAAUGGGUCACAUCACUGGAUGUCAUCCAGAUGUGGAAACUGGGAACCACAGAGCAAAGGAACUGAUCACAUUUUCUAAAAACAUUUGGCCUGUGAUCCAAGACUGACUGAAAUAUUUCAAGGCACAUUUUUCUAGAUAUUCCAGAAAAAAAAAAAAUGCAAAAUUCUCUUUUAUUCUAAAAUCCAGUCAUUCAUAUUGCCUGGAAGUCUUUUCUUAUAUUUCUCUCAAAUUUCUCAUGUUUAUUUGUGACAAAAAAUUUACUUUAUGGCGAACUGCCUUAGAUGUCAAAUAUUCUGAGACAGGACCUGGAGACCCUAACUCUGGUCAGAGACAAAUCUCUGGCCGCCAUCGUGGGCCUUCAUUUUUAACCAUUUGCCCAGGUGGCACAGUGGUAAAGAAUCGCCUGCCAAAACGGAAGAUGCAAGAAACGUGGGUUCAAUCCUUGGAUGGGGAAGAUACCCUGGAGUAAGAAAUAGCAACCCACUCCAGUAUUCUUGCCUGGAAAAUUCCAUGGAUAGAUGAGCUUGACAGGCUGCAGUCCAUGGGGUCGCAAAGAGUUGGACAUUACUAAGCCACUAAGCAC